rnacentral:misc_RNA from 1 species
GUUCAUUUUUUAUGUAAAGUUUAUCAGGAAAAUAAGUGAGUACUCUCUGGUUCUUUUAAAGUUUUUUUUUAAAAUAGCAAUUAUAUGAGGUAGCAUUAUUUUUCUUUGUUGAGGUUUAUUGAUGGUUUUGGUAGAAAACUUUGAAUGUUAAACCAGUCCAUCUUCACAUGUUCUUGAAAGUUUUCAUGUUCUAGAAGGAAUCAGUAAUAAGGUCUAGAUUUGUUUCAAUUUAACGAGUCUAAGCAUUUAUAUUUGAGGAAAGGGAAGAUUGGAUUUGUGUUCUCAUUGUUGGUUUGGUAGAAAAUAGUAUGACUAGGUAAUGAAAGAAUGAAAAUGGAUCAAGAAUAAUAAGCUCCAAGGCAGAUUCUAAGUAGUCAAAAGGAAAAAGGAGAUAUAAGUAGGGGAAGGGAGAUAAGAGAGAAGGGGAGGGGGGUCGAUAUUAUGGAAGGAGAGAGAGAAGGGACGAAAUAGAAAGGGGAUAGAAAAUUAUGUUGAGAGGAAGAAAAGAAAGAUAACUUUAAUCCAUUUAUGUAAAAAAAAAUUAUUAUAAAAUAUGUUGAUGUGAAAUUCCAUGUCAACAGCUCUUUAGAAAAACAGCCAGAAUCUUUCUAGAAGGGCUUUAAUUUUACUUUAAUGUAUAAUGGGUUUUGUAUUAGAACUUGAAGUUUAGGGAUGACAUUGUGAUAACUGUAUAAGUUUGAGGGAUGUUAAGUGAAAUUAAAGAGAGAGAGAGGGAGAGAGUGUUAGAAUCUCU